CAGCCGCCACGGUAAUACGAAGGGUGCAAGCGUUACUCGGAAUUACUGGGCGUAAAGCGUGCGUAGGUGGUGGUUUAAGUCCGUUGAGAAAGCCCUGGGCUCAACCUGGGAAUUGCAGUGGAUACUGGGUCACUAGAGUGUGGUAGAGGAUAGUGGAAUUUCCGGUGUAGCAGUGAAAUGCGUAGAGAUCGGAAGGAACAUCUGUGGCGAAGGCGACUAUCUGGGCCAACACUGACACUGAGGCACGAAAGCGUGGGGAGCAAACAGGAUUAGAUACCCGAGUAGUCCCUGUCUCUUAUAC
rnacentral:rRNA from 1 species